CCCUUAGAGUUUGAUCCUGGCUCAGGAUGAACGCUAGCUACAGGCUUAACACAUGCAAGUCGAGGGGCAGCAUGGUCUUAGCUUGCUAAGGCCGAUGGCGACCGGCGCACGGGUGAGUAACGCGUAUCCAACCUGCCUUACACUCUUGGACAGCCUUCUGAAAGGGAGAUUAAUACAAGAUGUUAUCAUGAGUAAGCAUUUUCACAUGAUUAAAGGUUUACCGGUGUAAGAUGGGGAUGCGUUCCAUUAGAUAGUAGGCGGGGUAACGGCCCACCUAGUCUUCGAUGGAUAGGGGUUCUGAGAGGAAGGUCCCCCACAUUGGAACUGAGACACGGUCCAAACUCCUACGGGAGGCAGCAGUGAGGAAUAUUGGUCAAUGGACGAGAGUCUGAACCAGCCAAGUAGCGUGAAGGAUGAAGGUUCUAUGGAUUGUAAACUUCUUUUAUACGGGAAUAAACGAAUCCACGCG
rnacentral:rRNA from 1 species